AUACGGAGGAUGCGAGCGUUAUCCGGAUUUAUUGGGUUUAAAGGGAGCGUAGGCGGGAGCUUAAGUCAGCGGUUAAAUGGUGCGGCUCAACCGUGCCCUGCCGUUGAAACUGGGUUUCUUGAGAGUGCAAGAGGCGGAUGGAAUUCAUGGUGUAGCGGUGAAAUGCUUAGAUAUCAUGAAGAACUCCGAUUGCGAAGGCAGUCCGCUGGGGCACGUCUGACGCUGAUGCUCGAAGGUGCGGGAAUCAAACAGGAUUAGAUACCCUGGUAGUCCGCACGGUAAACGAUGAUUACCCGCUGUCGGCGGUAGACAGUCGGCGGCCAAGCGAAAGCGAUAAGUAAUCCACCUGGGGAGUACGACCGCAAGGUUGAAACUCAAAGGAAUUGACGGGG
rnacentral:rRNA from 1 species